GACGAACGCUGGCGGCGUGCUUAACACAUGCAAGUCGCACGAAGUGUCGAACGGGUGAGUAACGCGUAAUCAACCUGCCCUUCAGAGGGGGACAACAGUUGGAAACGACUGCUAAUACCGCAUACUGAAGGAGGGGAUUGCGUCUGAUUCGCUAGUUGGAGGGGUAACGGCCCACCAAGGCGAUUCUCGGUAGGCGGGCUGAAGGGAGGAACGGCCAAAUGGGGACUGAGACACGGCCCAGAAGCAUACGGGAGGCAGCAGUGGGGAAUCUGCCGCAAUGGACGAAAGUCUGACGGAGCAACGCCGCGGGAGUGAUGACGGCCUGCGGGUUGUAAAGCUCUGUUAAUCGGGACGCGGUACCGGAAUAGAAAGCCACGGCUAACUACGUGCCAGCAGCCGCGGUAAUAC
rnacentral:rRNA from 1 species